UACGGAGGGUGCAAGCGUUAUCCGGAUUCACUGGGUUUAAAGGGUGCGUAGGCGGGCAGGUAAGUCAGUGGUGAAAUCCUGGAGCUUAACUCCAGAACUGCCAUUGAUACUAUCUGUCUUGAAUAUUGUGGAGGUAAGCGGAAUAUGUCAUGUAGCGGUGAAAUGCUUAGAUAUGACAUAGAACACCUAUUGCGAAGGCAGCUUACUACGCAUAUAUUGACGCUGAGGCACGAAAGCGUGGGGAU
rnacentral:rRNA from 1 species